GCAUCGACAGCUUAGUGGCAUAGCGGUGAGGCGUGGACCCAUGCGGCCCGGGUUCGAGCCCCGGUCAAUGCA